rnacentral:rRNA from 1 species
GAAUUGCCCUUAGUAGCGGCGAGUGAAGCGGCAAAAGCUCAAAUUUGAAAUCUGGCUCUUUCAGAGUCCGAGUUGUAAUUUGAAGAAGGUAUCUUUGGGUCUGGCUCUUGUCUAUGUUUCUUGGAACAGAACGUCACAGAGGGUGAGAAUCCCGUGCGAUGAGAUGAUCCAGGCCUAUGUAAAGUUCCUUCGAAGAGUCGAGUUGUUUGGGAAUGCAGCUCUAAGUGGGUGGUAAAUUCCAUCUAAAGCUAAAUAUUGGCGAGAGACCGAUAGCGAACAAGUACAGUGAUGGAAAGAUGAAAAGAACUUUGAAAAGAGAGUGAAAAAGUACGUGAAAUUGUUGAAAGGGAAGGGCUUGAGAUCAGACUUGGUAUUUUGUAUGUUACUUCUUCGGGGGUGGCCUCUACAGUUUAUCGGGCCAGCAUCAGUUUGGGCGGUAGGAGAAUUGCGUUGGAAUGUGGCACGGCUUCGGUUGUGUGUUAUAGCCUUCGUCGAUACUGCCAGCCUAGACUGAGGACUGCGGUUUAUACCUAGGAUGUUGGCAUAAUGAUCUUAAGUCGCCCGUCUUGAAA